AGCGUGGAGACAGGUGGUGCAUGGCUGUCGUCAGCUCGUGUCGUGAGAUGUUGGGUUAAGUCCCGCAACGAGCGCAACCCUCACCCUUUGUUGCCAUCAGGUUAUGCUGGGCACUCUAAGGGAACUGCCUCGGUUAACGAGGAGGAAGGCGGGGAUGACGUCAAGUCAUCAUGCCCCUUACGCCCUGGGCUACACACGUGCUACAAUGGCCGGUACAAAGGGAUGCCACACCGCGAGGUAGAGCUAAACCCAAAAAGCCGGUCUAAGUUCAGAUUGGAGUCUGCAACUCGACUCCAUGAAGGAGGAAUCGCUGGUAAUCGCGUAUCAGCACGACGCGGUGAAUACGUUCCUGGGCCUUGUACACACCGCCCGUCACACCACGAAAGCCAGCUGUACUCGAAGUCGCUGAG
rnacentral:rRNA from 1 species